rnacentral:rRNA from 1 species
AUUGAACGCUGGCGGCAGGCUUAACACAUGCAAGUCGAACGAUGACUAACUAGCUUGCUAGUUAUGAUUAGUGGCGGACGGGUGAGUAACAUUUAGGAAUCUGCCUAGUAGUGGGGGAUAGCUCGGGGAAACUCGAAUUAAUACCGCAUACGACCUACGGGUGAAAGGGGGCGCAAGCUCUUGCUAUUAGAUGAGCCUAAAUCAGAUUAGCUAGUUGGUGGGGUAAAGGCCCACCAAGGCGACGAUCUGUAACUGGUCUGAGAGGAUGAUCAGUCACACCGGAACUGAGACACGGUCCGGACUCCUACGGGAGGCAGCAGUGGGGAAUAUUGGACAAUGGGGGCAACCCUGAUCCAGCCAUGCCGCGUGUGUGAAGAAGGCCUUUUGGUUGUAAAGCACUUUAAGCAGGGAGGAGAGGCUAAUGGUUAAUACCCAUUAGAUUAGACGUUACCUGCAGAAUAAGCACCGGCUAACUCUGUGCCAGCAGCCGCGGUAAUACAGAGGGUGCGAGCGUUAAUCGGAAUUACUGGGCGUAAAGCGAGUGUAGGUGGCUCAUUAAGUCACAUGUGAAAUCCCCGGGCUUAACCUGGGAACUGCAUGUGAUACUGGUGGUGCUAGAAUAUGUGAGAGGGAAGUAGAAUUCCAGGUGUAGCGGUGAAAUGCGUAGAGAUCUGGAGGAAUACCGAUGGCGAAGGCAGCUUCCUGGCAUAAUAUUGACACUGAGAUUCGAAAGCGUGGGUAGCAAACAGGAUUAGAUACCCUGGUAGUCCACGCCGUAAACGAUGUCUACUAGCCGUUGGGGUCCUUGAGACUUUAGUGGCGCAGUUAACGCGAUAAGUAGACCGCCUGGGGAGUACGGCCGCAAGGUUAAAACUCAAAUGAAUUGACGGGGGCCCGCACAAGCGGUGGAGCAUGUGGUUUAAUUCGAUGCAACGCGAAGAACCUUACCUGGUCUUGACAUAGUGAGAAUCCUGCAGAGAUGCGGGAGUGCCUUCGGGAAUUCACAUACAGGUGCUGCAUGGCUGUCGUCAGCUCGUGUCGUGAGAUGUUGGGUUAAGUCCCGCAACGAGCGCAACCCUUUUCCUUAUUUGCCAGCGGGUUAAGCCGGGAACUUUAAGGAUACUGCCAGUGACAAACUGGAGGAAGGCGGGGACGACGUCAAGUCAUCAUGGCCCUUAUGACCAGGGCUACACACGUGCUACAAUGGUAGGUACAGAGGGUUGCUACACAGCGAUGUGAUGCUAAUCUCAAAAAGCCUAUCGUAGUCCGGAUUGGAGUCUGCAACUCGACUCCAUGAAGUCGGAAUCGCUAGUAAUCGCAGAUCAGAAUGCUGCGGUGAAUACGUUCCCGGGCCU